rnacentral:rRNA from 1 species
GAUGAACGCUGGCGGCGUGCCUAAUACAUGCAAGUCGAGCGAACAGACGAGGAGCUUGCUCCUCUGAUGUUAGCGGCGGACGGGUGAGUAACACGUGAUAACCUACCUAUAAGACUGGGAUAACUUCGGGAAACCGGAGCUAAUACCGGAUAACAUGUUGAACCGCAUGGUUCAACAGUGAAAGACGGUCUUGCUGUCACUUAUAGAUGGAUCCGCGCCGCAUUAGCUAGUUGGUAAGGUAACGGCUUACCAAGGCAACGAUGCGUAGCCGACCUGAGAGGGUGAUCGGCCACACUGGAACUGAGACACGGUCCAGACUCCUACGGGAGGCAGCAGUAGGGAAUCUUCCGCAAUGGGCGAAAGCCUGACGGAGCAACGCCGCGUGAGUGAAGAAGGUCUUCGGAUCGUAAAACUCUGUUAUUAGGGAAGAACAAAUGUGUAAGUAACUAUGCACGUCUUGACGGUACCUAAUCAGAAAGCCACGGCUAACUACGUG